UCCGAGUUGUCCCCGGCAGUCCUCUUAGAGUCCCCGGCAUUACCCGCUGGCAACUAAGAGCAGGGGUUGCGCUCGUUGCGGCACUUAAGCCAACACCUGUCAGGAACAUGUCAAGCCCAGGUAAGGUUCUUCGCGUUGCGUCGAAUUAAACCACAUGCUCCGCUGCUUGUGCGGGCCCCCGUCAAUUCCUUUGAGUUUUAGCCUUGCGGCCGUACUCCCCAGGCGGGGCACUUAAUGCGUUAGCUUCGGCACGGAAGGAGUCGACACCUCCCACACCUAGUGCCCAUCGUUUACGGCGUGGACUAC
rnacentral:misc_RNA from 1 species